GCCCGCCUAGCUCAAUCGGAUAGAGCGUCAGACUCUUAUGGCGAGUGCAUAGUCAUCUCAUGAGUUUAAUCUGAAGGCUGCGAGUUCGACCCUCGCGGUGGGCU